CCUGUACGAGCGCACCCCUCGUCCUUAGUUGCCAGCACGUAAUGGGUGGGAACUCUAAGGAGACCGCCGGUGAUAAACCGGAGGAAGGUGGGGAUGAUGUCAAGUCAUCAUGGCCCUUACGAGUAGGGCUACACGCGUGCUACAAUGGGCAGUACAAAGGGUUGCGAAGCCGCGAGGUGAAGCUAAUCCCAAAAAGCUGUUCGUAGUCCGGAUUGGAGUCUGCAACUCGACUCCAUGAAGUUGGAAUCGCUAGUAAUCGCGAAUCAGAACGUCGCGGUGAAUACGUUCUCGGGCCUUGUACACACCGCCCGUCACACCAUGGGAGUGGAUUGCACCAGAAGUAGUUAGCUUAACCGCAAGGAGGGCGAUUACCACGGUGUGCUUCAUGACUGGGGUGAAGUCGUAACAAGGUAGCCGUAGGGGAACCUGCGGCUGGAUCACCUCCUU
rnacentral:rRNA from 1 species